UGGUCUGUGAUGAUUAGCCCACUGCGCAAUCUGAGUUCUGCAGAACUACAUGAUGAGAUUUGUGCUGAGAAAGGCAGCUGAGACCA
ensembl:scaRNA